UACGGAGGGGGCUAGCGUUGUUCGGAAUUACUGGGCGUAAAGCGUGCGCAGGCGGCUUUGCAAGACAGAUGUGAAAUCCCCGGGCUUAACCUGGGAACUGCAUUUGUGACUGCAUGGCUGGAGUGCGGCAGAGGGGGAUGGAAUUCCGCGUGUAGCAGUGAAAUGCGUAGAUAUGGCGGAGGAACACCGAUGGCGAAGGCAAUCCCCUGGGCCUGCACUGACGUCAUGCACGAAAGCGUGGGGAGCAAACAGG
rnacentral:rRNA from 1 species